CCUACGGGAGACAGCAGUGAGGAAUAUUGGUCAAUGGCCGGAAGGCUGAACCAGCCAUGCCGCGUGAAGGUCAGUGCCCUAUGGGCGUUAAACUUCUUUUGUGCGGGAGCAAUAAUGGUUACGUGUGGCCAGACGAGAGUACCGUACGAAUACGCAACAGCUAAAUCUGGGUCAGCAGCCGCGGGAACACGGGGGAUGCAAGCGCUGUCCGAGUUUGUUGGGUUUAAAGGGGGCGCAGGCUGUGAGGUAAGUUUGCGGUGAAAUGCCCCCGCUCAACGGGGUGAGGUGCCAGUGAUACUGCGUUGCUGGAGUGCGGAUGCGGUGGGAGGAAUGUGUGGUGUAGCGGUGAAAUGCAUAGAUA
rnacentral:rRNA from 1 species